AAAGUAUCAAAUUAGAGCUAGAUACAAAGCGUUCCACUUACACUGGAGUUUAAAUUGUGCAAAUCAAUUUAAUUUG
rnacentral:tRNA from 1 species